rnacentral:rRNA from 1 species
CUAUGUUUCCCAAAAGACCAGGGAGGUAUGGGGUUUAGAGACUUACAUUCCUUCAAUCUUUCUAUGUUAGCUAAGCAAGUGUGGAGACAAUUGGAAUCCCCUGAUUCGUUAUGUGCGCAAGUGCUUCGAGCAAAAUACUAUCCUGAUGGAAACUUACUAGCUGCUGGGCCAAAGAGAGGAUCUUCCUUUACUUGGCAAAGUCUGGUUGCAGGUAUCCAGACCUUCAAAAGAGGAUGCAUAUGGAGAAUAGGAAAUGGUGAGCAAAUUAAAAUCUGGGAGGAUGCAUGGAUCCCCUCUAGCCCGAACAGAAAAAUUAUCUCAUCGCGAGGAGGUGCUCUAAUCACGAAAGUUAGUGAACUCAUCAACCCAGUUACGGAACAGUGGGACGAGGAUAUCAUCAGAUCAAUUUUUUGGCCGGUAGAUGCUGAGAGAAUCCUUCAGAUUCCGCUACAAUAUAACGCCUUUGAUGAUUUUGUUGCUUGGAAUUUUACCAAAUCAGGCUACUUCUCAGUGAGAUUGGCAUAUCAUUGCGAAUGGAUGCAUCAGUAUGGAGGUAGAGCCUCACGUGCGAUGCAAGGAACAUCAAGACCGAAUCCAGUCUGGGGUUUACUUUGGAAGUUGAAUGUCCCAGCAAAAAUAAAAAUAUUUGGGUGGCGUACGCUACAUAGUCUGAUCCCAGUCCGAGUUGUUCUUGCCAACCAUCAUAUUGGGACUAAUGGGAUUUGCCCUUUAUGUAAGCAAGGACCCGAGGACAUUGUUCACCUUUUAUUCAGUUGUGUUCAAGCAAGGGAGAUCUGGUUGAAGUUGGGGCUGAGUGAGUUUAUU